rnacentral:rRNA from 1 species
AGUGAACGCUGGCGGUAGGCCUAACACAUGCCAGUCGAACGGCAGCACAGUAAGAGCUUGCUCUUACGGGUGGCGAGUGGCGGACGGGUGAGGAAUACAUCGGAAUCUACUUUUUCGUGGGGGAUAACGUAGGGAAACUUACGCUAAUACCGCAUACGACCUACGGGUGAAAGAAGGGGAUCUUCGGACCUUGCGCGAUUGAAUGAGCCGAUGUCGGAUUAGCUAGUUGGCGGGGUAAAGGCCCACCAAGGCGACGAUCCGUAGCUGGUCUGAGAGGAUGAGCAGCCACACUGGAACUGAGACACGGUCCAGACUCCUACGGGAGGCAGCAGUGGGGAAUAUUGGACAAUGGGCGCAAGCCUGAUCCAGCCAUACCGCGUGGGUGAAGAAGGCCUUCGGGUUGUAAAGCCCUUUUGUUGGGAAAGAAAAGCAGCAGGUUAAUACCCCGCUGUUCUGACGGUACCCAAAGAAUAAGCACCGGCUAACUUCGUG